UUGUAGGGGCGCUUCUGGUCCCUAGACCCGGGGUCUCCAUCCCGGGCUCCCCGAUGAGCACCUCUAAGCUGUCCAGCACUGCCUUGUAUGUGCAGUCUGGGAAACUGAGGCUCACGGGUCAAGUGGCGCGCCCAAGGUCACCCGUCCUAGCGAGGAGGGACAAGGGCAGAGCCUUUGGAACCCAGGUUCAAACUGCCAGGCUCUGGGAACAGUCAGUACGACCAGGCUCCUGAUUUGCCACAGCUCCGCGGACUUGCCUAACUUAGGUCGCUUUGCUGUCCGCCGCUAUUUGUACGAAAAUAGUACAGGGCCGGGCUUGAAACGCCAGCCUCCAGAGACCCUUGGCGCAGAGGUCGGUUACAUAAAAGCGCCUGCCCUUCAGACUGUCUUUGUCUUCCAAGACUUGUUCCGGGUUGCCCUUCUCCUUACAUGGAGGUGUCUGGACAUGGAUGAAUGAGCCUCUCUAAACUGUCCCCAGUAGGGAACCUACCACGCUGCACAUAGGUGGUGAUAGCUUCUGUCGCCCUCAAAUGCUCUUCUAGGCUUCUUUUAGACCCUUUGAGGGUAAAUGUCCCACCCUAGGCCCAGGACUCCUGAGUCCCUGUUCAAAGGAUAUAGUCCCAACCUCAAUAACAAGAGUCCCUUUACAGUCCUCAAGACUUCCCCAGAAAAUCCUAAACUCUUCGGGUUUUUUUUCCUCUCCCUGUACUCUAAAGCCAUCCACAGAACUACGACUGCUUUCAUUAGCCUAGGGCUAUCUUGGGGAACAGCAAAUUUUGUCUGUCUGAGGGAGAGGUCUCCAACACCUGACGUCAGGGACAGACGUGGGGAGAGCACUAGAAAAGUUUGCUGAAGGAAUUCCCCAAGUACCUGACCUCUUUGUUCCAGCCUUGUUACUCACCUGGUUGCAGGUCAGGUGCGACUCAAGAGUCCCCUGCAACAACCUCCCCCUUGUGUCUCUUUAGUCAGAACUGGCAAGAGGCAGUAAAAUACAAUGGUUAACUAACUGUGACCCUUUAGCAAACUUAGGUCCUCUGUACCUCAGUUUCUCCAUCUAUCCCACGGAGAUGAGAAAAGAUUAUUUCUAAGGACACUCAUGAGGAUUUACUACUUCACAAGCACCCCCCUGCACAAAAUGAAAGCCAGACUGUUCUGUGGCAGUCUCCUUCGCAUGGCUGCUCUCUGAGGCAGAAGCUUCAAAAGGCAGCAGGCGACACCAUCUGUGUGGUCCUCUGUGCUGGAGAUGAAGCCCAACCCCAGCAGAGGAAGCUCCUAAGGGUAGACCCUGCUUCUGCUCCUAAGCCCCAUGCUGGGCUGAUCUGGUCUGGUCUGGUCAUGCAGUGUGUCCCAAGCCUGAGCCUCACAUCUGGACCUCCAACACCUAAGUUCUGUCAACUGUCCCUUGAGUCAGUUGGGGAGUUCUUAAGGGAAGGCUUUCUCCUUUUACAUCUGAAGGAAGUACAUGCCUCUUGCUCUAGUCUCCCUAGACUUGAAUUCCAGGGAUUCUCUGACAAGCACUACUGGAGAGGAGAAGCAGUCAGAGUACCUGGUGAAACAGCGCUUCUUGCCCCAUGUCUUCCAUUUUCUGCCUCGGUAGUAGUCUAAACUUUCACUGAUGAGUAUCUCUAUUAAGCAGUUACUAAUUAUCUUUAUUAAGCAUUUACUAAUUAUCUUUAUUAUGAGCAUUUACUAAGUGCCAAGCUGCUCUGGCAGCUUUAUACAUCGCCCUCUUGAUACCUGCAGGAGAGCUUCCGUUUAUCACCGUUUACUCAUCAAGAAAUCUCCAAGGCUGAGUAAUUUUAUACUUUGCCAACUGUGCCACCACUGGCAAUCUGAGAUUCCAGGCCUCCCUAUUCUAAAGCCUUCCCACACCGAACCCAGGUAGUGAUCUGAGACUGAUUAGAUCUGUGUCUCACCCUCCAUGGAGCUUUUGGCAGAGAUGUCCCACCAGCAGCUGGGGAGGAGGACUGUAUAGACAACAGAGAUGCUGAAACGUCUGCUCUGGACCCUCCCCCUCACAGAAGCUUCCAAGAGGGCAGGUGCCCAGCACGACCUGACAGAUUUGUUCUCCUUCUGUUUUGGGCAUCAUGACUUCAUCUCAAACAGGAAUGAGGUCUGAUGAAAGCCAAGGAGGAAAUGACUUUGGAAUAAGGUUUCUGCCUUCAUAAAGCUUAUAGUCUACUGGAGGAGACAGAAAGGCCAACAAUCAGCUCUAUAAACUUAAAGAAGUGACUUAACCUCCCUGUGCC